ensembl:lncRNA
GAAAUGUGUCUUUCAAAAAAAAAAAAAACAGAGCUUCACAGGUUCAAACAAUGUGGAUGAUUUGUCAGUAGGCAGGAAGAAGUAGACUCACUGAAAUCUAAGUGCACGGAAAAAAAUCAAGUUAAACAUCAUUAUUAAAAACUAUAAUAUACCAAAAUAUAUAAACAUGCAUGUACACAAUAAUAAAUAAACAUUAAAAAAAUACUUCCGCACAGACACACACUCACAGCCACACCUUCACACACCUUCACACACACACACACACCUUCACACACACACACCUUCACACACACACACACACACACACACACACACACACACACAGGGGGAGGAGCAGAUGAAAUUGAAAGAGUUCAGUGAGUCAGUCUCACCUGACGAGAACAGGAGCAAAAACAGGAAACUGACGCAGGUGAGUUCAUAUUGUUUGACUUCAGUUUUCUCUCAUUUAUUAAAAAUACAUGACAUUUACAAGAUGAGUCCAGUGUGUAGAAAGCUGUGAGCAGCGUCUGGGAGGAAGGUCAAGGGUCAGUCAGUUUCUCCAGCAGCAGAGAAGAGGGAACGACAAGAGACGACGAGGAGACAAACAUGGAGGAACAUGUUGGAGCUUCACCUCUCAGACCAGAGAAGAUGAGUGAUCUGGAGGAAGACGAGGACAGAGCAGAGUCUCCAGUGUUCAGCUGGUUGUCCAUGAAGAGUGACCAGUCCAAAGGUGAAUCUCCAUUCUUCAGUCCUGAACCUGGACCCUCACACUCUGAGUAAGAGACUGUGUCCACACCUCACGUUGUGUCUGGUUCAGUAAAUCAACCUCCAACAUGUCGAUGUAGAAACUCUUCACAGUUUCCAGUCACAGAGGAAAUGUUCACAAUGGGAAGAUGCUCAUUACAAGUUCUGAUGAUGUGAUUAACAUAUUUGAUUUAGGCCUGCAACUAAUGAUUAUUCCGUCAUUUAUUUUCAAGAUUAAUUGAUUAGUUGUUUGGUCCAUAGUCAUGAAACUGUGAAAAAUGUUGAUCGUGUUUCCCAAACCCUGAGAUAUUUUGUUUUGUCCACACCAACAAUAUAUUGAGUUUACUGUCACAGAGGAGCAAAGAAAUCCAAACAUAAUUACAUUUAAGAAGCUGAAAUCAGAGAACUUUGCCUUUUUUUUCAUAAAAACUAAUUGAACCACUAAAUUCGAUAAUCAAAUUAAUCGGUGAUUAAUUUCGCUAUUGAUUACUAAGCGAUUAACGGUUGCAGCUCUAAUUUGAUUUGUCCACAGUCACAGUCUUCCUGUCUGAUCUGCUUCCUGUCAGAUCUCAUGCUUCCUGUCUGAUCUGAUUCCUAUAUGAUCUGUUUCCUGUCUGAUCUCCUGCUUCCUGUCUGAUUUCCUGCUUCUUGUCUGAUUUCCUGCUUCCUGUCUGAUUUCCUGCUUCCUGUCUGAUCUCCUGCUUCCUGUCUGAUCUGUUUCCUGUCUGAUCUCCUGCUUCCUGUCUGAUCUGCUUCCUGUCAGAUCUCCUGCUUCCUGUCUGAUCUGAUUCCAAUCUGAUCUGCUUCCUGUCAGAUCUCCUGUUUCCUGUCUGAUCUGAUUCCAAUCUGAUCUGUUUCCUGUCUGAUUUCCUGUUUCCUGUCUGAUUUCCUGUUUUCUGUCAGAUUUCCUGCUUCCUGUCUGAUUUCCUGCUUCCUGUCUGAUCUGAUUCCAAUCUGAUUUCCUGUUUUCUGUCUGAUCUCCUGCUUCCUGUCUGAUUUCCUGCUUCCUGUCUGAUUUCCUGCUUCCUGUCUGAUUUCCUGCUUCCUGUCAGAUCUCCUGCUUCCUGUCUGAUCACCUGCUUCCUGUCUGAUCACCUGCUUCCUGUCUGAUUUCACCUGUU